CACGUAGGGCGCAAGCGUUGUCCGGAAUUAUUGGGCGUAAAGAGCUCGUAGGCGGCUUGUCACGUCGGAUGUGAAAGCCCGGGGCUUAACCCCGGGUCUGCAUUCGAUACGGGCUAGCUAGAGUGUGGUAGGGGAGAUCGGAAUUCCUGGUGUAGCGGUGAAAUGCGCAGAUAUCAGGAGGAACACCGAUGGCGAAGGCAGCUCGCUGGGACGGUACUGACGCUGAGGCGCGAAAGCGUGGGGAGCAAACAGG
rnacentral:rRNA from 1 species